UACACUCCUACGGGAGGCAGCAGUGGGGAAUAUUGGACAAUGGGCGCAAGCCUGAUCCAGCCAUGCCGCGUGAGUGAUGAAGGCCCUAGGGUUGUAAAGCUCUUUCACCGGUGAAGAUAAUGACGGUAACCGGAGAAGAAGCCCCGGCUAACUUCGUGCCAGCAGCCGCGGUAAUACGAAGGGGGCUAGCGUUGUUCGGAUUUACUGGGCGUAAAGCGCACGUAGGCGGACUAUUAAGUCAGGGGUGAAAUCCCGGGGCUCAACCCCGGAACUGCCUUUGAUACUGGUAGUCUUGAGUUCGAGAGAGGUGAGUGGAAUUCCGAGUGUAGAGGUGAAAUUCGUAGAUAUUCGGAGGAACACCAGUGGCGAAGGCGGCUCACUGGCUCGAUACUGACGCUGAGGUGCGAAAGCGUGGGGAGCAAACAGGAUUAGAAACCCCAGUAGUCCCA
rnacentral:rRNA from 1 species